CGCCUGUUUAUCAAAAACAUGUCUUUUUGUUAAUUAUUUAAAGUUUGGCCUGCUCCAUGAUUAUUAAAUAGCCGCAGUAUAUUGACUGUGCAAAGGUAGCAUAAUCAUUAGUUUUUUAAUUGAAAGCUGGUAUGAAUGGUCGGAUGAGGAAGACUCUGUCUCAUUUUAAUUUUAAUUGAAUUUUAUUUUUAAGUUAAAAAGCUUAAAUUUUAUAGAAAGACGAGAAGACCCUAUAGAGUUUAAUAGGUUAAUGUUGUAAUGAAUUUAGGGUUAUAUUUUUAUUAUGGCUUUUACUAUUUUGUUGGGGUGACACUAGAAUUUGAAUAACUUCUUUAUAUGUAUACACUGAUUAGUGAGUAUUGGAUCCUGAAGUUUGGAUUAUAAGAUUAAAUUACCUUAGGGAUAACAGCGUAAUUCUUUUGGAGAGUUCUAAUCAAUAAAAGGGAUUGCGACCUCGAUGUUGGAUUAAAGUUAAAUCCUGGUGCAGAAGCUAGGAUUUUGAGACUGUUCGACUUUUAAACUUUACGUGAUCUGAGUUAAGACCGG
rnacentral:rRNA from 1 species